ACCUGCUGUGGGCGGUGGCGCGUGGACGCCCGCAGCACCAGACAGAACAACGUGUCACGGGAACAACGUGGCAUUUCAGGGCGUU
rfam:Streptomyces sp. Root264 contig_13, whole genome shotgun sequence.